GGACGAACGCUGGCGGCGUGCCUAACACGAUGCAAGUCGAGCGAGGAGAUCCUUCGGGAUGAUCCUAGCGGCGGACGGGUGAGUAACACGUGGGCAACCUGCCUCAUAGAGAGGAAUAGCCUUCCGAAAGGGAGAUUAAGUACCUCAUAACAUUGCAGUUUCGCAUGGAACAGCAAUUAAAGGAGUAAUCCGCUAUGAGAUGGGCCCGCGGCGCAUUAGCUAGUUGGUGAGGUAACGGCUCACCAAGGCGACGAUGCGUAGCCGACCUGAGAGGUGAUCGGCCACAUUGGGACUGAGACACGGCCCAGACUCCUACGGGAGGCAGCAGUGGGGAAUAUUGCACGAAUGGGGGAAACCCUGAUGCAGCCAACGCCGCGUGAGUGAUGACGGUCUUCGGAUUGUAAAGCUCUGUCUUCAGGGACGAUAAUGACGGUACCUGAGGAGGAAGCCACGGCUAACUACGUGCCAGCAGCCGC
rnacentral:rRNA from 1 species